UACGUAGGGUGCGAGCGUUGUCCGGAUUUAUUGGGCGUAAAGAGCUCGUAGGCGGUUUGUCGCGUCGGCCGUGAAAUCUCCACGCUUAACGUGGAGCGUGCGGUCGAUACGGGCAGACUUGAGUUCGGUAGGGGAGACUGGAAUUCCUGGUGUAGCGGUGAAAUGCGCAGAUAUCAGGAGGAACACCGGUGGCGAAGGCGGGUCUUUGGGCCGAUACU
rnacentral:rRNA from 1 species